AAAAAUACAUUUCAGUUCCUCUUUCUCUCUCUUUCUAGUUCUUCAUUUCUUCGAUUUUGCUUUGUUCAAUCCCUGUUGUUAACAUGGUAAUAGAGCAGGUUUUCCGAUUUUGCUCAUCAUCGGCUUUCUUGCGAUGUUACCCUCGUCAAUUUUCAUCCGAGGUUCUUAUAUCUGAAAAAUCUAGGGUUUUCUCAAUUGCUGGGUUUUUCCGCUGUGAUCGUUUGUUUUUUUGAGGUUUCUACUCCGUCGGCUUCAUCGGUUAGGUCGAUUCGUUUCCUAAGGGUUUGCAUGUCCACAGACUGUUAGGUUUGUUGGAUUCGUCAAGCUUCAGGCUCGGUAAGGAUUCUCAGUCAUUAAAAUGGUUAAUGUUGGUGAUACUUCUGCUUCUGCUCCCACUAAUUUUGUACUUGGCCCUUCGAGUCCUUUAUUUCUUAUAUCUUCUGAUGUUCCCGGAGUCUCUUUGGUUAGUAAUCCCUUU
rnacentral:lncRNA from 1 species